rnacentral:tRNA from 1 species
GAGGGUGUAGCUCAGUGGUAGAGGCACAUGCCUAGCAUGCACGAGGUCCAGGGUUCAAUCCCCAGUACCUCCU